UGUUUCAGUGUAGAUGCUGCAGGGUAUUUCAGAUGAAGGAAUGAGAGGUGAGAGGGAGGUUGGUUUGUGCAAGAACAGGUGGAGUCACUUACGCAUUUAGCCUACAUUAGUUUUGAUCGAACACAGCUGGAGCAUCACAGACACUGAGUGAAUUCAUCACUAAAUAAGAUCAACCAUGGCGAAAACAUCAAUUAAGAUUAAAAUAGCAGACAUGAGUGAUGAGAUGCAGCGGGAGGUUCUACAAUGUGCUUUUCUGGCUGUGAAUAUGUAUGAAGAUGGCUUGGACAUUGCUACCUACAUCAAGAAGGAAUUUGACAGAAGGCAUCAGCCCAACUGGCAUUGCAUUGUGGGGAACUGCAGUAGCCAUGUGACACACAAUAAAAGCUGUUAUAUCUCCUUUGAUGUUGGCAAUAAACAUAUUGUGCUUUUCAAGACGAGCUGAUCCACAGCAACAGUUCAAACCCAUUUGGUUAAGGUGCUAAGAAAUUCAGGGUCUGCUUUUUUUUUUUUUAAGUUGUGGUGAUUUUUGUUUCCAAAUGUUGUUGCAUGGCUUUGGUUGUUUAAAUAAACAUGACUAUAAUUCAC